rnacentral:lncRNA from 1 species
CUAAAGUAUAACUAAAUUUAAAAUCCAUUUAAAAAAAAAAAAUUGUAUCUUUUUUAUCUAGAUAAAAAAAUACUUAUCUAAUCCGAACACUGGUUAGCCGUGAUUUAAACUGUCCAUAAUAUACCUAUAGUACUUACAGGAAACUAUGUCCAGACCUUGGUUCUCUACUUUCGUCGAUUUUAUGUCCUAGGGUAUAUUAUACGUUUACCUUUAACACAUCAUAACACUGCAGUGUUCAUCCAAUUAAUUGUUCCAGAAAUUAAUUGAAAUUGCCUCUAAAAACUCUUUUCUACUCCUUAGUUCAUCCUUUCUUGGAAUAUGGGUGCUCUUCCUUAUUGCUUCUGAGAUAAUCAUGCUUGAACGAGUAAUAUAUAUUUUAUAUUUACCCGUUGUUUCUUAAACGAUAUAUAUAUACCUUCACUUCUAUUCAACCUUCCAUACAUAUCAUCUACCCUUGCUGGCAGAAGAAAAACUGCCGAUCUCACAUUCCUCACUAAACUUAUAAAUAGCUUAAUUGAUUCACCCACAUUGUUAUCUCAAAUUAAUUUUAGAGUACCGUCACGUCACAGCAGAUCUACUUUCCCAUUUUAUAUUCUGUUUACUUCCUCUAAGUUCUAACUACUAAUACAACUCUACUUUAUCCAUGUUAAGCUUAUAGAAAAUGAUAACCCUACUCUUGUGCAUUUAUUUAUUUACUUUCCAUUAGUCAUUCAUUUUAUUGUGUUUCCAAUUAAUAUCUUACUCUUAUUUUAUCAUUUUCUUAUUCAUGUUUCUGUUAUUGUUCUGUAUAUUAUAUUUUUUCUUUCAAAAUGUUCGUGAUUAUAUUAUAUUAUAUUUUUAUUUUGGAACUAGGUCCGAAACCUUAAUAAAUUUGUAUGUAUAGUCAGGAGUUCUGUAUGGUCCUGGUUGUACCUAACAGUUUAGGGCUGAUGUUCAUAAGUUAUCCAAUCGGGCCAUCGAGGUGAAUUGGUUUGGUGCUUAAAAAUAAAAAUAUCUAGUUAUAGUUCAAAACUACAUUACUCAUAUUUUGUUUUUAUAAUAAUGAACCUUCAAUAUUUGUUUUCGGUCUACUGUGUUUUUAGAAGUUAACGGGUGAUUAUUAUACAUAAUAAUAGAUCUGGACAAGAAAUAAUUAUUAAAUAUUACCUACUUAAGUCUAUUUGAAAAAAAAAAUACUAUAUAUUUGUAUAUUAUGUCUAUAAUUGGAAUUUUACCGGAGUUUAUCGUUCAACACUAUAAACAUAUUAAGUCUACAUAUUUAAAGAUCAAUGCUGGUAUCAUAGGCAAAUGUUGUCUACACACAUACAAUUAUUAUGCAAAAUAACCGAUUUGCGUUCAGCCGAAGUUUUACGUCGUUAGCUUAAAUUUAAGGGUAAAACAUAUAUGUUGACGAUUUUAUCAACAUAUAUAAAAUUAAUGGUUAUUAACUAAACAAGAACAUUAUAAUAUGUUUAUUUUAGUCGGUUUUCUACGAUAUUAUUAUUUUGAAGCGAGUUUGAGUUGAACAUUUUUUAAUAGUAAAAUUGUCCAGUUUUUCCCGACAACACAAAAUUUGCUGAUGGUACGUUUCCAAGACGGAGACACAAUACCGUAAUUGUGGGUGAAUAGAAAUUGAUGGGUGAAUAGAAACAAAAUUUCGAAAUAAGUUUCAUUAACCAAUAACUACGGUCUAAGUAUAACUACUUUUAUAAGUUGUUGAUGUAUUACAUUGGUUAUGUUAUGAAGAAUCGAAUUCAAUUGAUACAUUUUUACCUCCAUAAUAAUUGUCGAUAAAAAAAUUGAUAAGAGUAAACAUUAUUUUACCUCCAAAAAAUGUGUAUCAACUUUGUUAUCAUGGUUCUCAUGAACGAAUUGUGAUAACUCCAAAAUUUUUUUUUUCACUUUUCGGCGUUGUUGUGGAGAAUUAAUUAACAAACAUGCCAAAAGUAUAUAAGCCAGAUUCGCGCGGCAAAUAUGUUUAAAAUGUUGUUUUUCAUAAAAUAAAGACUAUAAGUAAGUUAUUUGAACGUUUAUUUUUUUAAAAAAUUCAAAAUUUUGUUUCUAUUCAACCUCAAUACAGUUGAAUAACAAAUUCUAUGAAAACUAAGCAGCUGUUUUUUUUCACCCUCACCUGCGGGUGAAUAGAAACAGCGUACUCAAAAAAAAUUAUAAAAUCAAAUUUUUUAGUUGGAUAACCGUUGAAAAUUCUAUAAUGUAGUACACGGUGAGACCCAAAUUUUGAUGUAAUUCACAGAAUUGUACAUAUUUUAGAUCCAGAGAUAUAACACCUGAAAGAUGUAAACCUGUUUCUAUUCACCCACAAUUACGGUACAUUAUGAGCUUAUGACGUUAUGUGUGUUGUAGGUAUAGCUUCCUCUUAAUGUAAUAUAUAUUUUAUAGUAAUAAUCGGUCCACGCAUCAACUGCAGAGUUCAUACUCCAUAAUAUCCUUACGUCUUGUUAUCGGAUUUGGUCGGAUUUUGCCAGUUAAACUUUGUUACGGGUCGGGUUGAAUCGGGUCGUGUAUAAUAAUAUGUCUCGAGCUGGGUCAUCGGGUCGGAUCACAUUUUUAUAUGACGUUGUUGAGUCCUUCUAAGCACUUCAACAUAAUAUUACCUCUAUCAUGGGUCAGGUGGUCAGGCGUUGUAUUAUAUAAAUGCAUAGAAACUGUUAAGUUGAGCUAUGUACAAUAUGGUUCCUUCCACGUCAGACCAUUUCAAAUUAAUUAUGUAAUAAUUGUUCUGAUCUGGCCCGGCUGUUAAGGCUCAGACUGCAGACUUCUAAAUUAUACCUAUACUUAAGGUCAGUGGUUCCCAAACUUUUUUUUUCCAGUCGUGUCCUUUUUGGACUAAAUCCGGUGCCCAGCUGUGAAUACAACCAGAAAUAUAUUAAAUAAAAAAUAAUUUUUAUUUGAUAAUCAUUUUUUAUAAUAUUUUAUUGAGUAAUAAAUUAUAUAGGUAAUUAAAUUUUAAAUUUAUUUUGAGUCGCAAUCCAUAUUAUAAUUUGGAAACCUCUGUGACUUUAAGCUACCAUAUAUUAUUAUAACCACCGCCUUUAGUUUAUUCGAAAAAUUAUUAAAAAAAACCCUCAAACGUUAACCAUUUAAAUAUAACUAUCUAAAUAAUUAGAUCAAAAAGUUUAUAUUAUUAUACCUAUAUAAAUUAUGACGUAUAUUCAUAGCAUACAGUAUUAUAAUGUCCGAUACCAAAUCGUCACUGCCUCGUGCCAUUAUGAGAAUAAUGCCCUUCGGAGAAUAUUGCAGCCCUCUAUCAUCUGUUCAUCUCCCUCUCACCGUUAAACACAGUUAUUAAUUAUAAACAUUAAUGUUCGAAACAAAUACAUACACGCAAUUUAAUAAUGUUUGUGAUACAGUGCCACACUCAUCCCCCUAGUGAUUGUUAUAUUUAUUCAUAGACAUUAUACUAUUAUUAUAGUAUAAGGUCUGCAUAUAUUAUAUAUAUUUAUAUAUAUAUACUGUGUAUUGAAUACACGCAGAGAGGGUGGUAGCCGGUAUAAGUACAAUGUACAUAAUAUUAUAGUAAUUGAAUUACGCAAUUUCGUUACAUUGUGUUCAACUACACAGUGUUUAUAAAUUAUUAUUAUUAGAUUAUGAUUUACCGAUAUUAUACUAGAAAAUCACAAAAUAAUAUUAUUAUGCACUUACUGCACAGCUAUUGAUUCGAAUUUUAUAAAGUUCAAAGUUAACGCAUGAAUGUACCUAGAGUUUUUCUGCUAGUAGAUAUACAGCAGGGCUCUAAAUUAUGCCCCCCUCCCACGCUCACAAUUUGCUUAGUAUAUCUAUAUACCUCUUUCCUUUUAUGGAUAUAAUGUAGGCAUAAUAUAUUAUAAUAUUAUACCUUUACCUAUUAUUAUUUUACACAAAAUUGACGGUUUCUGAUAAUAACUGAGCAAGUAUUGAUGAUAAGUAAAUAUUAGCACCGCCAAAAAAUCGGGUGCAAAAUUCUAAUAUUAAUAAUAAAAUUGAUGUACCUAAUAAUAAUAAUAAAAUUACUAUGUAACAUAAGUCUACGGUUCUAAUUUAAUUGCCCUAAAUACUAUCCAAAAAUGAUCUUAAAAAUUCGUUGUAACAAGCAAAACAUGUUACAAUAUAUCCUCACAAUUUACCCAAAAAUUGUCUUAGUAACUCUUGAGCAAAUAAAAAUACGAACUUAACUAAAUAAACUCGAUUACCACGUAACAUCAACUGAAUAACUAUUAAUUGUUACUGGUUUGAGUCGGGGGAUGCAAAAGAGACGGGUUAAUCGAAACACUGCUGUACAUAUAGAAAUCAUAAUUAUUGGUGUGAUCGACAAAUAUGGUCAAAACAAAAUUCCUUGAACUAAUAUUUUGAAUUACCUACUAAUUAUUUUUAAUCUCAAAAUGUAUAUAAAGUAUAAGUACCUUAAUAAUCGCUAGAAAUCAACAAAAUUACUUACAAAUUAUAAAAAAAAACGUCAAAAAAACGCCAAAUCUGAUAAAAUGAAAAAUAAUAGUUUAAGUUAUCAAUUCUCUGUUGCAUAUAAAACGGAUUUCAUACUUAAAAAGCAUUGCUUAGAACUUACAAAAAAUAAUGAAUUUCUAAUUUAGCCCUAAACAUAACUAUCUAGUAUCUGGGGUGCCAAAUUUUCAAAAACCAUAUCAUACAUAACAUAUUUUUAAGGUAGAAUUCAAAAAGUCGCUAUACAUUUUCUAUAUCUGUUCUACGUCUUCCACCUACUUAAAGAACUGAAUUUUGGAGAAUUUGGUGUUUAAUUUUAAUUAUUAGAUACCUAUUUUCAACUUUUGAACACCGUGGAUUUGAAAUGGACAUCGCAUAUUCUUUGAAUCGUGAUGUGGAUUGAAAGAGGGAAAUCAUCAUUGCAAGGGGCGGGGUAUGCACGCAUUGUGACUUUAACCUUUUAGCCUUUUUAUUUGUCUCUAACUCCAGCAAAAUCCUAGCUACAUAUAGGUACUUCUACAUCCAAUUUAUUGUGAGGAAAUCAGUAAAAUACAUUUUUUCCUUUGUAAAAAUAUAUAUUAUAGUUAAAUAAAAUGAUAAAACGAUUCUUCUCUAUUUGCCAUCCUAUUACAUCAGAUCUCUACUCGCGUUUCCGAACGAGCUUGGCCCACAAUGUCAAAAAGUAUAUUUUCAGAUUCUUAAAAAAAAAAAAUUAACUGUUUUGUACGCAUCGUACGCAGUAACGUUAAUGUGAAAAGUAUAUUUUUAAUAUUACCAUGUUUAUAGAUUCACGUUUGAAACACAUCGUGAUAGACACUCGGGGUGUACGUUUCAGACAUGACAUAAAAACUAAUUUCCAACGAACCAAUAAUUAAAUUGAUGUAGUUUAGCGAAAUGGAUUCUAAAAACGAAUUUAAAUUUGUCACAUUGAUGUGACAAGUUGAUGAAAAACUCUACGCAUGAGGUCGACUCUCUGACAUAUUAAUUGUAUACGUUUUAUGUUAAACACAGUAAUAAUAUAUUUUAUAUUGAUUAUUAAACUUUUUAUAAAAUUGUAUUUUUAUGCCAUCGAUGUUCUUAGAAUAUGGGAAUUUUCGCAAUUAUAAUUUGUUUUUAUAUAUUAGUAUGCAUAAUAAUAUAACAGUGGUGGAUUUUGUAAUCAUUUUCAUAUUUGAAUUAUGCACCCGAUUUUGUGGUGAUGGUAAUUUUUGAUUAUUAUAAUAACUAGUUAAGUUUUGACAAAAAAAAAAAAAA